UACGUAGGGUGCGAGCGUUGUCCGGAUUUAUUGGGCGUAAAGAGCUCGUAGGCGGUUUGUCGCGUCGGCCGUGAAAUCUCCACGCUUAACGUGGAGCGUGCGGUCGAUACGGGCAGACUUGAGUUCGGUAGGGGAGACUGGAAUUCCUGGUGUAGCGGUGAAAUGCGCAGAUAUCAGGAGGAACACCAGUGGCGAAGGCGGCUACCUGGACAGAUACUGACACUGAGGCGCGAGAGCGUGGGGAGCAAACAGG
rnacentral:rRNA from 1 species